UCCAUAACAUCACAUUUCAGAACAAUAAAUGUGAACUGAAGACAUAAUGAUUAUUACAUUGUGUCGCUCCAUUUAUUAUUACAAACAUUUCUGAAUACUUUCCGUUAAUUGUUAUGAUAAUAUGUUAGGUCAAUGUUCCUAUUGCUAUUAUUGUUGAGAAAAUUGUAACAGACAACGAUAAAGUGAACCACUUUUGUCCUCCAACGGAUAUUUUAACAAUAACAAUCAUGUGUCAUCCAGUUCAAUAACACCGUAGGUAUAGAUAGGUACCACUUACUUACUAAUUAUAGAAAAAAUUACCAAUUACCAUGCAAAACGAAAUUGUUUUGGAAAAUAAAAAGAGAAAUAUGAUGUUUGCCUAGAUACAAUACAUGAAGACAUUCGCCCCAAAUUUAAGUUCAUGAUCAUGGAUGUCACUUGCAUAAGUAUUGUGAAGAAAUCUGUCUAGCAGUGCACAGCACUUUGGAAAGAAGUUGACAGAAGCAUGAGGCGAAGUCAAGUGAUUUUUUCAAAACAAAUAUCAUAAGUGAUAUUGCCAAAAAGCAACAAACUUCAUAUAUAUGUCAAUAAAAUUACAGAAAACUUCUGCAGGUAAAUUUUUUUCUCGAAGAUAUUGCUCACUUAAUUUUAUUUAAUAGAAUAAAGUCAAUACAUAUAAAUAUUACCUAUCUGGCUGUUAUCAACACUUUUCCGCUACGAAACUAGCGCGUUGGUUUUGCACAGGGUAAGGGUUCUGUUUUUUCAUUAAGUACAAAAACAGGCUGUUACUACUCGUAUGUUACUUUGCCAGUAGGUACCUAUAAAACACUCAAGUGCAAUACUUAGUCAUCGAAAUGCGAUUGAUGUGAUAGUUGCUAGUACAUUAUAUCUAGAGCAUUCUUUUAUAUCUGGGUUUUUCUAUAAGAUUUUUAAAUAUGUAUUAUAGUGAGGUAUUGAAUAAACUAUUUAGAUUA